CAAAUGACAUCCCCGAGACAAGAGCCAUCCAUCAGGAGAUCACUUUAUGUCGCUUCCCCUCCGCUGCGAUGCCUGUGCAACAGUGACCACUCCACACAGGUUUCUGCUCAUCUUUCUGAUCAAUAAUGGCUUUCUCAGCAGCCCACUUCGGCUCUGAUUCAUCUCUGAGCAGAUCAAUGCCUCGGUUACUCAUCUCUGAUGGAGUAGAGCUGCAGUCACCUCCGUAACUCAUUACUGAUGCGCCAGUGAUGAGUCAGCAGCAAACCCGGGCAGAGCACAGCCAGGUAAAUUACACAUGAAGCACCCAGACUAGCCGGACAGGUACCAUAGGUCUGAUAACCUGCAGCCAGAACAGGUAAGACUAGACUGAUCCCCCUUCAACAAACACCCUGCUAGCAGAUACUGCUGGCCACCCAUUUAGUUGCUGAGGCUUAAAAACAAUCCUAUGCAUUAAUCAACGAGCAAUCUUGUUUCCAUUAUGUAGAGAAGAUUAAUAGCCUAAUAGUUUAAUAUCAUCAGUAGUCUACAGUAUUAAAACAAACAUUUUACAUAGCAAGCAGAUGAAACAAUCCAUUCCUAUGAGCAGGGCAUGGGUAAUGUAGUCUCAAAAUGCAUACAAUUAAAUCCAUCAUAGAUGUAAUUUGAAGAGGAUGUCACACGUCAUGCUUCAUCAUAUCUUAAUAGUGUACACCAGUUGUGUUUUGGGUUGAACCCAAGGUGCCCUGGCUUGAUGCCAAACUUUCACUGUUAGAAAGCAGGCUAGGCUACUGAAUAAUGUAACGAGACAGGCUGCAUAAUUCAUCUACAUUUUCUAGUAUGCUAGAGCAUAUUUCACCAGACACUCUGCCUUGGUGCUGAGCCCAAGCCUUCACUCAAGGGACAACUCACAUGUCAGCCACUAUCGCGGCGUCUCCCUUGGCGGCUCUGUCAAUUAGCACGACUUCCAGAAUUGUGUUUGAAAUGGCACAAACGUAACUUCUGAAUCGUGCCUAAUAGAGAUGCACUAUCUUCCAAACAACCAAUUCAGAAAUGUAAUGAGCCAGAAAGGAAACAGCUAUGAAUCAUAAUAGCAUUUAUAGUAGAAUAGCUACAAUUAUCUCCAGCAGUCAAAGUACUCCCGCCCCCACAAGGCAGAACAGAUAUUCCACUAUUCCCUGUUUUAUUAUCUGAAAAACUGUCAAAACCGUUUAGAUGCAAUUACACAUGGUCUGCUGAAUGUGCAUGCACAAAUCAGAUUAAUAUGUUAUACCGGCAUAUUUUGUCUUCCUGUCUUUGGCAACAUGGUGUUAAAGUUGUUCAAGUCAUUGCCUAUAACAGCAAGGUCUCAGGUUUUAAUCCUCCAGCAGCCACAGGCCCUGUCAAAGUGUUCUUGAGCUACACACUAAACCACAAUCACCUCGCUGAUUUCAAAAACUUAGACUUAGUUAGAUUACUAAAACACAAAUUAUCUUGCCCCAUUUGUCUCUGUCCAGUCCACAAUCCCACUGUGUGAUCAGGAAAGUAUUACCAACAGAACGUCGUCUGCCUGGUUGACCCCUACGUCCCAUGGUUGUCCGGGUCUCCUAGGUGACCUGGAGGUCCUAUGUGCAGGUCCUGGUUGACCAGGCUGCUGGCGUUCCCAGUGGGUCCAUUUGCCACCGUAACGGAGUAGGAGGUAAGGCAAGAAAGCCUCUUACAGGCCAAGUGAGCAAGCAUGAUAAUCCCAUCUGUGUCUGCUCUGCAACUUCACCUACUGCUAAUCCAUACUCUGAUAAUCCUACAGGUGAGUCUGCUACACGCACAUGAACACACAUUUCGCUAGUGUAUGCAUAUGCACAUAUACACAUGCACACACACAUUGAUAGUGUAUUAUACACACACUCUCUCACACGCGCAGGUGAACAUACAACUUUUAAUGCCGGAAUACAUGCAAAGCCCCUACAUGCAGGUACUCCCCUGCCCAAACUCUACACCCAGCAGUCAUAUAUUGUACAUGCAUGCAGCAGUGUUCAUGUGCAUGUGCUUUCCAGGCAUGCCAUGUCCAUAGAUGCAUGUGUUGUGUGUUCUACAGCAUGCAUAUAUUUUCAUAUUGAACGAUUUGCCCCAGUGCAUAGCAAUCUGUCUUCGUCAGCACGGUCUGACAUGAGUGGUCACCCCACUACCUACAAGCACAUGCAGUGAAAGGGUUAAUUCCUGUUUAGCAUUCGUCACUCCAGGCCCCAAGGAGCUACAGAGUAUUCAGGGUCAGCAGCAGUAAUAUCAUGUCUUAACCUUUUCAGACAAGAUCCAGAGACACUUGGUAACUACAUAUUGUAGCUCUUGAGGGCCGGAGGUUGGCAGACAGCUGCUCCUAGCUGUUGCACAUGGCCACAUGCACCUUGGGACUCCAGAAACAAACGGGGCGUCAUCCAGUCUAAUUCGAGCAAACUCACUUUUGUCAAACCUGUCUGUGAGGCGGGCACGCAUGGUAGCGCCUGGGUCCUGCAGUUCAGAAGCCUCCUGCCUAAUGGUGGUCAACACUAACUGCUCUGUGGGCGACAGAGGCCGCGGCGGGAGAAAACAACACACACAAGACAACAAGUCAAUAUACACAUACCGCACACAACACAUCUAUGUGUCAGUAACUGCACUGUAAAUGUGUUUGUAUGUGCCUGUCAUGGGAAGCAUUCUGUAGUGAGAUGAGAUUCAUGCCUGCAUAAGAAAAUGUGGGUCUGAAGGGUUUACACAGAAAUGGACUUGGCUAAAACUUUUGUAGCUUGCCCAGGAGUGCCCCCUUGUGUUCAGCUCAUGUAAAUACCUCACUGCUGCAAUUUAUUAGGCCUCCCUUAUCUCCCAAAUGGCAUCUUCAGCAGCUUGGCAGCCACGGCAACCAGUCUUUAUCGUUUGAAAACAGACAUAUUGUUGACAGUUUGCUGAGCUGCAUGACUCACAUUAAGAAGACCCGCCAACACAACAUGUGUCCUUACAUUUGAAUACAAAUCCAUACGGUAAAAUGUGAACUGCCUGAGACAAUCUUCAAAAACCAUAAGACAUCUUGAUUACAGCUCGUUUAGCUUAUCAUAACACAAAAAUACUUUUUUUCUACAGUAUAAUGUGUUUUCUCAACCAAUGUCAGAAGUGCUUUAUGUGCCUGUGAGUAGUUAUGCAUAAAAGGUGGUAUUAGAAACAUGGUCAGAGUUUAUGUCACCCACUUCAUAAAUACAAACAAAUGAUAUGAUAUUAUUCUGUGUGUGAAUGUGUGUGUGUGUGAGUAAAUGUGACAGAUUGGAGGCUGCAGACGUCAUCACCAGGGAUGAAGCAGCUCGCUAAUUGGAGCAAAGAAUCAAGAGCUCAGGCUCCAAGAGAUUAGAGAACAGACACCAUGGAGAAUCCAGGAGGGUGCACAUGUACAUAAUGACUGACACUCUUAAACAACUGUUAGACUCAAUGAGACAAAAAUAAUCUCCACGAAUAUUAAAGAAAUGUCCCACAUUAUCUGGUCAGAUAUAAACAAGAAUUAAGUAGCGAAUCUCACAAUCAAACCUCUUCCACAUGAGGGUCAAAGUCACAUACUGGCCAAAUAAAACAGAAGUAUGUUUCAUUUUUGAGGCCACCUGAUACCCCAUUUAAACACAAAAUACAAAUAUGUAUGAAACUGGUCCUGAACCCUUAUUAACUCUAACCUUUCAUCGGGCAAAAAUGUGCUGCCCCAGUGACAAAACAUCCAAUAUUUCAACAACUAAUAUAUGUGGGAACCUCUGGCCUGAAGACAGUGUGGCCCAGUUGGCGCUCAUCUCUGCUCACAAUUUGCCCUGCUUUCUAUUUCUGGAAGCUGCAAGAGGCAUGCAGCUACACACACACACACACACACACACACACACACACACACACACACACACACACACAGAUAACAGCAAAGCAGCCGGACAAUAUGUGCCAGUCACUAUUAAAACCCACUGGUUGAGCCAAACACAUGCUCCUCUCUUCCAGGACAAUCCAAACUCAGUUUGCUAUGUGUGAAAUCAUAACAUCCCACGUUGACUUUAAACAUCUCCAUCCUCCCUCCAAUUCCUACUGUAUGGAGAGGAUGAACCAUUUUCUGCCAGAAAGAGUGACUAUAACCUAUACUAUUAAGUUUGUCAUGGAGGGUUUAUUUAAUAUAAACAGCCCUGGUCCAUACAUGGUCCGGAAGACACAUGUCAUGUGUGCAGCUGUUUAAACCAGCCCCUUUCCAACGCUUGAGUGCCAUAAAUACAGUGAUGUGAAAACACACAUGUGCAUGGCUUUAGAGAUUCAAUUCCGGACGCGCUCGGAAUAAAAAGCGCUCUUUAUGCGGUCACGUGGUGUUUAAGUCGGCGAGGUAAUAGGCUGUUCUUGGACUGAUCUAUAGAAGCUGAGUUUGGACAUUUGAAUCGCACAAUGAAUUUAAAUAUUUAGAUAUGAGCUAUCUUAUAAGCAUAUCAAGAAAUCGACAUGUUUUUGCGAAUCGACCCAUGCGAAAAAAAAUCCCCAUAUGAUGCGAUUGAGGAGGUCAAUAUACCACAAUGUCUGUUGCAACAAAAUUAUAUAAUACCAUAAUGAUGCCAUAGGAAAUACAGUACAUUCAGUAUAGUGACACGAUCACACAACGGACUCACAUUCUUCCUAUGAAGAGCAAAUAUGCUGUUAUCUUUUCGUUACAGCACAGCACGGAUCCAUAUACUUAUCAUGGUCAUUGCUAUAUAGAAAUACCAGCCUAUAUAGAGGGCAGACGGUGCUACCUGAAGCAGCUGCACCUGCAGUCUCCAACCGGUGCCAAAAAAAAAAAAAAAAAAAAACUGAGCGAGGAGGAAG